AUUGAACGCUGGCGGCAGGCCUAACACAUGCCAGUCGAGCGGAUGAAGGGAGCUUGCUCCUGGAUUCAGCGGCGGACGGGUGAGUAAUGCCUAGGAAUCUGCCUGGUAGUGGGGGAUAACGUCCGGAAACGGGCGCUAAUACCGCAUACGUCCUGAGGGAGAAAGUGGGGGAUCUUCGGACCUCACGCUAUCAGAUGAGCCUAGGUCGGAUUAGCUAGUUGGUGGGGUAAAGGCCUACCAAGGCGACGAUCCGUAACUGGUCUGAGAGGAUGAUCAGUCACACUGGAACUGAGACACGGUCCAGACUCCUACGGGAGGCAGCAGUGGGGAAUAUUGGACAAUGGGCGAAAGCCUGAUCCAGCCAUGCCGCGUGUGUGAAGAAGGUCUUCAGAUUGUAAAGCACUUUAAGUUGGGAGGAAGGGCAGUAAGUUAAUACCUUGCUGUUUUGACGUUACCAACAGAAUAAGCACCGGCUAACUUCGUG
rnacentral:rRNA from 1 species